CCAAUAGCGUAUAUUAGUGUUGUUGCGGUUAAAAAGCUCGUAGUUGAAUUUCGGGAUUGGGAUAUAUUGGUCGUGCCUUUAGGGGCAUGAAUCGGUAUGUGGCCAAUUCUCACCUUCUGGUGAAUUGGGAUGCUCUUGGGUGUUUCAAUGAACUAGGACUUUUACUUUGAAAAAAUUAGAGUGUUUAAAGCGGGCAUUUUUGCUUGAAUACGUUAGCAUGGAAUAAUAAAAUAGGACGAUGGUUCUAUUUUGUUGGUUUUAGGACCACGUAAUGAUUAAUAGGGAUAGUUGGGGGCAUUAGUAUUCAAUUGUCAGAGGUGAAAUUCUUGGAUUUAUUGAGGACUAACUAUUGCGAAAGCAUUUGCCAAGGAUGUUUUCAUUAAUCAAGAACGAAAGUUAGGGGAUCAAAGACGAUUUAUGUACGUCGUAGUCUUAACCAUAAACUAUGCCGACUAGGAAUCAGACAAAGUUAAUUUUUUAACGACUUGUUUGGUACCUUACG
rnacentral:rRNA from 1 species